rnacentral:rRNA from 1 species
UACGUAGGGUGCAAGCGUUUAAUCGGAAUUACUGGGCGUAAAGCGUGCGCAGGCGGUUUUGUAAGUCUGUUGUGAAAUCCCCGGGCUCAACCUGGGAAUGGCAAUGGAGACUGCAAGGCUAGAGUUUGGCAGAGGGGGGUAGAAUUCCACGUGUAGCAGUGAAAUGCGUAGAUAUGUGGAGGAACACCGAUGGCGAAGGCAGCCCCCUGGGUCAAAACUGACGCUCAUGCACGAAAGCGUGGGGAGCAAACAGG